rnacentral:rRNA from 1 species
CUCGUAGGCGGUUUGCUAAGUCGGACGUGAAAGCUCCUGGCUCAACUAGGAGAGGUCGUUCGAAACUAGUAGACUAGAGGGUGGUAGAGGAGAGCGGAAUUCCAGGUGUAGCGGUGAAAUGCGUAGAUAUCUGGAGGAACACCAGUGGCGAAAGCGGCUCUCUGGCCCACUCCUGACGCUGAGAUGCGAAAAGCCAGGGGAGAGAACG